GUGCGCAGGCGGUUAUAUAAGACAGAUGUGAAAUCCCCGGGCUCAACCUGGGAACUGCAUUUGUGACUGUAUAGCUAGAGUACGGCAGAGGGGGAUGGAAUUCCGCGUGUAGCAGUGAAAUGCGUAGAUAUGCGGAGGAACACCGAUGGCGAAGGCAAUCCCCUGGGCCUGUACUGACGCUCAUGCACGAAAGCGUGGUGAGCAAACAGGAUUAGAU
rnacentral:rRNA from 16 species